GCAUAGGUUUUGACUUCCGGGCUCGUAGGGUAUAAAAACGGAUGCUUUGGCAGCACCAAGCCUUUCGGACGGAGUCUCGCCCUGUGUCUCCUCGCUGGUGAAUCUGCUCAGGAUUGCAAAUACUUUGAGGAGGAGAGGACCUACACGUGACUUCAAGAAGUUGGCACCCAACACCUAAGACGUGGAGCCUUUCUCUAGUUAGAGUUGGCAAAGUGGCUAAUAGUAAAUCAGUUAUUGGGUUGUCUGAAACAUUGUGACACAUCUUUGCAGCUGGUGGCGCUAGUUCCUUUUCAUCGGUAAAAAAGGGGUGAUUUGGUUGAGAUUUGGGGAUUGUAUGGGAUUGUUGGUAAAGUCGUGAAACAUUUUGUAUGGGAAAACAGUAUGACUUUCAGUGGCCUAAUGCAAGUUGAAGAUGGAAGGCCAAAGCACAUUUUUGCUGAAUUUUACUGUUACUGAAUGCAUCGAGUUAACUCCUGUUGCACAGCGCAAAGUUGCAGAAAACAUGGCAUUCCUUUCGUGAAGUGGCUAAUAGCUGGUGGUGAGAAGUGGGUAGUUGACAGCACUGGCCUGUUGGCUUUUUCUCCUCUUUCUGGUGAGCACCUAUUAAGGAAUAAAAUUCCUUUGAGGUAUACCUAGCAAAAUAGUGACUAUUGUAAUCCCUAGUGAAUUGUUUAUGAAUUGAAAUAAAGAGCUUACAUGAUUUUG